rnacentral:tRNA from 1 species
ACUUGGGUGGCUCAGUCAGUAGAGCAUGUGAUUCUUGAUCUUAGGGUUCUGAGUUCAAGCUCAGGUUGAGUG